UCCACGCCCUAAACGAUGAAUGUUAGUCGUUGGAGAGCUAGUCUCUUCAGUGAUGCAGCUAACGCAUUAAACAUUCCGCCUGGGGAGUACGGUCGCAAGAUUAAAACUCAAAGGAAUAGACGGGGACCCGCACAAGUGGUGGAGCAUGUGGUUUAAUUCGAAGAUACGCGAAGAACCUUACCUGGCCUUGACAUCCCAAGAACCCUAUAGAGAUAUGGGGGUCCCGGGG
rnacentral:rRNA from 1 species